GUUGUUUUCAUCAAUCUCCCUCUCAUUCUGAGAUCUGUUUGAUUGAGAAUAGGGAGGGAUGCUGUAAUACUAUGGACUUGGCUUAUUUUCCAAGAACACGGCCCACAUGGAGCUUACAGGAAAGGUUUGAAGAGUUAUGACUUGGAAACAUAAUUCUGAUAGCUGAGUAUAUAAAUAUAAUAUCUGUAAUAAAGACUUUCCCUUAGUGGCAAAUGACAAUUCAGUUAUAUUGGAAUUACAUCAGUUUCCAUUACUUCGAGCGUGACUUCUGCUGUUCGGUGAACGCUGUAGCAACACAAAGAUAUGACAAUGCCUGUGUCUUUUAACAUGGAAAUCAUACCUCAGCUUUACAGAAUCACAGAAGAGUUGAGGUAGGAAGGCAUCUCUGGAGAUCAUCUAGUCCAAAGCCCCUGCUCAAAACAGGCAGCUACAGCAGGUUCUUCAGGACCAUAUCCAGAUGUGUUGUGAGCUGUUCUCAGGAACGGAGACUCCCAAACCUCUCUGGGCCAUCUCUUCCAUGCUUAACAACUCUCAUGGUGAAAAAAGUUAUUAUGUUUAAAUAGAAUUUUCUGUAUUUUACUUCCUGCUCAUUUCCUCUUGCCCCUUACCGCUGAGAAGAGUCUGGCUCUAACUUUUACCUUUUCCACCAGUAUUAUGACGCUGACCAACACUGGGAAGAAAAGCUCAAGCAGUCUGCACCGCAUGUACCAAACCUUCUGAUGAUCUCAUCUAAUUGUUCUUUAAAAAAAGCACAACAAAACGUGAAAUUGUUGUGACUCAAGAAAAAGAAGAAACUGCUUUGGAGUCUCCUCACUAUUGAUUCUGCUGUCAGUGUGAAUUCCCUGCACCCCUGUGAUCCGGAGAUUCGCUUCGGCUCCUCUGCAAGUUAAAGAUGCCAUUUGUUUGCUCUCAAAGAUGAAUGCAAUGUCACAUCCCUUCCCUCCGAGGCUGUGGUGCUCCCCCAGCACCGUGGCGUUUCGUGCUGGCGUUGCUCACUGCGGGCUGCCGGUGUUGCUGCGGACAGAUAUGCGUGCAGAUCGAUGGGCGAGCAGCCAGCCCUGCUUGUGCUGAUGUAGUGCUCAGGAGCACCCUCCCCAGAUUUUAAUCCUCUGUGGCUAACUUUUCCUGUUCCUCUGUGGCAAUGCCAGAUAUGCCUGCUAUGACUUGAGGAGGUGGUACUCUUCCUGUUGCACAGAGAACAAAGUCUUUCUGGACUGAGCCGUGGUUCAGUUUUGUCAUCUGUUCUUAAGCUGAACCAUCACCACUUCAUGUUUUUUUUUUUUUUUUUAAUGUGGCAAGUUCAGUAAGAAUUGGGUAACAUGUGACUAAUCUCUAUACCCCAUUUAAAAUCCAUUCGAAAUAGUGUUUUCUGCUUAAUUUCUUCUUGCCACCCCUCCAAAAAUUUGCCAGAUUACCCAAUUUCGUCUCUGUGUCUGGGUGCCACCCACCUCCCUGGUCUACUGAAAAUCCCCAUCCCAUACGGAUUGCUGGUCAUUUCCACAUGACAAUUUACUGAACGUCUUCUUCACGUCCAUACAGACAAAGGAAAAAAAGAGUGAUGUCUGGCGUUAACUUCAUCCCCCUUUUUUUCAAUAUUAAAAUGACUUUAACUGUCAAAGUUUGUUCUGAAGUCUCGUAUGUGACUGGCGCUCAUUCUGCUCAUCUUUCUCUCUUCCCCAUCUAUUUUUCUUCAGAUGGCAACGUUCCCAACUCAACGAAUUUACCAGCCCUCACUCGUCCAAACCCCGGCCUGAGUUGAUGAGUAAAAUAUGAACCAAUUGCCUCGGUUUUAGCACAUUUAACUCUUUGGUUUUGUUUCCACUUCGGGCAGUGACGUGUAUUUUGCAUUCAGCCUCGGCCACGCCACAGCCUGGAAGCUUCUUAUGGCGAACAGAGGUGUGAGGCCUCACUUCAGACGCUCUCCUGAUGCACGGCAGGACUACACUUCUGCUUGUUUCUGCCAGUGCCACUGAAAACCUCUUUCUGUCCCCUUUGUGCCCCCGCCGAGCUCUCUCUGUCAGCGAUUCUCACAGGGCAGAGUCACACGCUAACCCUCUCCUUGUUGAGGGGCCUUCCCUUGAGAAGGUACGCAGUUCCUUCUCCAGACAGCUUCGCAGCCUUCCUUCCCCCCGCACCCCACUUCCCACGCUUCGCUCAGUUUUUCUCUUCGCCCCCGAGCCCGAUGCCGCCCUGCGACUGCGAGUCGCGCCUCAGAGGCGGGGCGGCC
ensembl:lncRNA